CACAAAGAGGUUUCUCUUGAAGCCUAUAAAACAAGCGAGAAUGAUAUCAGAAACUCAUGGGAAAUCACAAAAUCUGAAGCUUCCUCGAUAUCCCAACAUGAAAACUUACUCAAGCUCCCCUACAUCAGACUUGUCAUCUGAUUCGGUUACCACAUGUGAAAAUUGCAACUGAUGUAAUCAUUGCAAACAUGGGGAUGGCAAAUCCAAGUACCCAACCAAAGGUGUCUUGGAUGUAGGACAUAAGUAUGACACCUAAGAGGCUGCCACUACAAACACCAAAAUACCACCAUUGGAAGAAUAAACUCUUUUUGUUAGAGUUUUUGUCAUCCUUACUAGAGGGUAAUUCUUCAUCAUGAUCCAGUUGGUCAGCUCCAAAGGCUUGCAAAGAUGGGUUAUAUGCACCUUGGCCUAGUGAAAUCAAACACAGAGACCAAAACAGGAAUGCUGGGGAGCUUUUGUUGCUUGGUGGUGACCAUGUCCAUAUCGUUGCUGUUGAUGCCACUGCUCCAAGUCCCUUCAAUUAAAAAAAAAAAAAAAAAACCGAUGUAAAUUACUAUAACAAACGAAAAACUAGCAUGAAUACAGUAUAAAUAUACAGAUAUGUCAACCUUAUAACAUGAAUUACUAAUAUGGAUGCCAUGUCUCUUUCAAGUAGGCCUAAUAUGAUACCAGAUCAUUUUGAGGGAAAA